rnacentral:rRNA from 1 species
AACGCUGGCGGCGCGCUUAACACAUGCAAGUCGAGCGAGAACCAGUCCUUCGGGACUGGGGACAGCGGCGAACGGGUGAGUAACACGUGGGUAAUCUGCCCUCGAUUCUGGGAUAGCCCGGGGAAACCCGGAUUAAUACCGGAUAGCCUCGCUGGUCUUCGGGCCGGCGAGAAAAGGUAGCUUCGGCCUCCGAUCGAGGAUGAGCCCGCGGCGGAUUAGCUUGUUGGUGGGGUAACGGCCUACCAAGGCGACGAUCCGUAGCUGGUCUGAGAGGACGAUCAGCCACACUGGGACUGAGACACGGCCCAGACUCCUACGGGAGGCAGCAGUGGGGAAUCUUGCGCAAUGGGCGAAAGCCUGACGCAGCGACGCCGCGUGGGGGAAGAAGGCCUUCGGGUUGUAAACCUCUUUCAGCAGGGACGAAGCCACUCGGGUGAAUAGCCCAGAGGGUGACGGUACCUGCAGAAGAAGCCCCGGCUAACUACGUGCCAGCAGCCGCGGUAAUAC